ACCUCUGGAGAAUCCCGGAAUACCGGGUGCCGAAGGGGCAAGGCGCGAAACCGGCAGGGCUUUCCCGGCGGGUUCGCUCCGAAACUCUCAGGCAAAAGGACAGAGAGC
rnacentral:ncRNA from 1 species